rnacentral:lncRNA from 1 species
CGUAUCCAGACCAUUUGCCAUUGUGGUACGCGACGAAAGUUCGUUUUCGAGAAACAACUAUGAACUUGGAAAAGAUCUCAGACCGUUUCUGAUCCUUUGACACCAUUUUCAUCGCUGCCCACGACUGGCCGCGUCGCUCUCGUCCCGUCGUCCGGCUCCCUCCGCUGGGUUGUCUCGAUCGGACGACCCGGUGGCUUCGUUGUGCCGCUCCGCUCCAGCCAUCAGCCAAUUUAAGGCCGCCAACGCCAUCCCUCACGUACGCCGACCAAUUCAAUACCCCGUCCGGCGUCCGCUCCGGCUCCUGGGAACGACGCCACGUUCACCCCGCCCGCGCCUGCCG